rnacentral:misc_RNA from 1 species
AAGUCGUAACAAGGUUUCCGUAGGUGAACCUGCGGAAGGAUCAUUAACGAGUUUUGAAAUGGGUUGUAGCUGGCCUAAAAAAUAAAGGCAAAAAAAAUGUGCACACCCUGCUCAUCCACUCUCAUACCCCUGUGCACUUAUUGUAGGCUUGGUGGAACAGGUCUGAUCUCACGGUCAGACUUUGGAAGCCUCGCCUACGUUUUAUUACAAACGCUUCAGUUAAAGAAUGUAGCAUCGCGUUUAACGCAUUUAAAUACAACUUUCAGCAACGGAUCUCUUGGCUCUC